rnacentral:rRNA from 1 species
GAUGAACGCUGGCGGCGUGCCUAAUACAUGCAAGUCGAACGAAACUUCUUUAUCACCGAGUGCUUGCACUCACCGAUAAAGAGUUGAGUGGCGAACGGGUGAGUAACACGUGGGCAACCUGCCCAAAAGAGGGGGAUAACACUUGGAAACAGGUGCUAAUACCGCAUAACCAUAGUUACCGCAUGGUAACUAUGUAAAAGGUGGCUAUACUACCGCUUUAGGAUGGGCCCGCGGCGCAUUAGCUAGUUGGUAGGGUAAAGGCUUACCAAGGCAAUGAUGCGUAGCCGAAUUGAGAGGUUGAUCGGCCACAUUGGGACUGAGACACGGCCCAAACUCCUACGGGAGGCAGCAGUAGGGAAUCUUCCACAAUGGGCGAAAGCCUGAUGGAGCAACGCCGCGUGGGUGAAGAAGGUCUUCGGAUCGUAAAACCCUGUUGUUAGAGAAGAAAGUGCGUGAGAGUAACUGUUCACGUUUCGACGGUAUCUAACCAGAAAGCCACUGCUAACUACGUG